rnacentral:rRNA from 1 species
AUACAGAGGGUGCAAGCGUUAAUCGGAAUUACUGGGCGUAAAGCGCACGUAGGUGGUUAGAUCAGUCGGAUGUGAAAGCCCCGAGCUCAACUUGGGAAUUGCAUUCGAUACUGUCUGACUAGAGUAUGGUAGAGGGAAGCGGAAUUCCACAUGUAGCGGUGAAAUGCGUAGAUAUGUGGAGGAACAUCAGUGGCGAAGGCGGCUUCCUGGAUCAAUACUGACACUGAGGUGCGAAAGCGUGGGGAGCAAACAGAAUUAGAAACCCCGGUAGUCC